CACAGUCCCCACCCCCAAAGGCACAGGUAGGAAGACAAGCCAUCGGGCACCCUCACUGUCAUGUGCCUUGUAAAUCUCAGCAGGAGGCUCCAUGGAGGCUUUCCUGAGAAAAAUAGCUAAAUAGAGAAGGUAGGAACAAGAAAUGAUGACUCAGGUGAAGGAGCCAAGAAACGAGGGGGAGAAAAAAAGCCCUUCUGGGCAGAAUGUAUGCAAAGGUCCAGAGAUGAAAGAGUGUGACAUCUUUCUGCAAACAGUUGAGCAAGACCGUGGAGGCAAAAAGAUGAGAGAGACAUCUCAGCAGUAAGGAACCUGUGGCAAGUCAUACAAGAGGCUGUUGAAAACAGAAUGUGAAGUAGAAGUGAUGCCAGACUUUCAAGUCAAAAUCGCUCCUUGGUUUCUCCAGCAAAUCCUCCAGCAAAUCGACUAAAGACUCAAACGUAACAUCCAAGAGAAAAAUCAUGGACAGCAUUUUCAACCUCAGAAUACCAAAAGAAGAUUGCCCAUAUCCUGGAAAAUGCUCCUGCCUGGACAGGAAACAUGGGAGAAAUCCCUCGCUGAGACAUCAAGAUGGCUCCAGGUGAAAAUGGAUGGAGCUGACCAUGGGAAAUAUACUGGAAAUUCUUAAAGCAUUAUAUGGAAUCAUCUCUACAGAUAGCCCUUCAUCAAAAAACCUGAAAACAUUAACAGACUGUGGGUAGCACAUCUGUUUAAAUUCAAGAAUAAAGAAGACUGUGUCAGCCUCA